GCAGCAGGCGCGAAAACUUUACAAUGCGGGAAACCGUGAUAAGGGGACACCGAGUGCCAGCAUCAUAUGUUGGCUGUCCAGAUGUGUAAAAUACAUCUGUUAGCAAGGGCCGGGCAAGACCGGUGCCAGCCGCCGCGGUAACACCGGCGGCCCGAGUGGUGAUCGUGAUUAUUGGGUCUAAAGGGUCCGUAGCCGGUUUGGUCAGUCCUCCGGGAAAUCUGACGGCUCAACCGUUAGGCUUUCGGUGGAUACUGCCAGAC
rnacentral:rRNA from 1 species